AUUAUUUUUAAAACGAUUACCUACAAGAUUUACAUAUAAAAUUCUAUCAUGUCUGCUAUAUAUAAACGAAAUGAUAUUAGAAUCCUUCAUUUUCAACUUGUUUAAAAUUACGUUUAAUGCCGUUAUAAGAAUAUACAACAUUAUAUAAUUUUACUUGGGCGUCAUGGACACUUGAGAAGGGCAUUCUUACAUCGUCCAUAUUUUUAACUUCGUGUCGAAAUGCUUUUUCAGCUUUUUGUCUUUCUGCAAGAGACAUACUUAGCCAUUCUUCUUUGCUAAAUAAAUCUUCGAAUCGAAAAUCAAAUGCGGUUCUUUUACUUUCUGCUCUUAAUGCUAAAACACGCUCAUGAUAUGUCACGUUUUAUUCCUCCCUCUAAUCAUUCAAUCGAAUGAUAAAUCACAGUAUUAACUUUAUUACUAAUAUAAUGUUUUUACAAUAAAGAAGUGACGAUUUUUCAACAUUUUUAAAAAUAAAAAAUAUAAGCAACGAUUAAUUGUAUGUUUCGAAUGGCUUGUAAUGUAAUUU
rnacentral:snRNA from 2 species